rnacentral:rRNA from 1 species
UACGAAGGGUGCAAGCGUUACUCGGAAUUACUGGGCGUAAAGGGUGCGUAGGUGGUUUGUUAAGUCUGCUGUGAAAUCCCCCGGGCUCAACCUGGGAAUGGCAGUGGAUACUGGCAAGCUAGAGUGCGGUAGAGGGUAGUGGAAUUCCCGGUGUAGCAGUGAAAUGCGUAGAGAUCGGGAGGAACACCAGUGGCGAAGGCGGCUACCUGGACCAGCACUGACACUGAAGCACGAAAGCGUGGGGAGCAAACAGG